rnacentral:rRNA from 1 species
AUACUAACCAGUGACCGAUAGUGAACCAGUACCGUGAGGGAAAGGUGAAAAGAACCCCGGGAGGGGAGUGAAAGAGAACCUGAAACCGUGUGCCUACAAGUAGUCAGAGCCCGUUAACGGGUAAUGGCGUGCCUUUUGUAGAAUGAACCGGCGAGUUGCGUUAGUCAGCAAGGUUAAGUCAGAAAAGACGGAGCCGUAGCGAAAGCGAGUCUGAAGAGGGCGAGCAGUUGGCUGACGCAGACCCGAAACCAAGUGACCUACCCAUGACCAGGUUGAAGGCGCGGUAAAACGCGCUGGAGGACCGAACCCACGUAAGUUGAAAAUUGCGGGGAUGAGUUGUGGGUAGCGGUGAAAUUCCAAACGAACUUGGAGAUAGCUGGUUCUCUCCGAAAUAGCUUUAGGGCUAGCCUCGCAAAGAGGAUGCUGGAGGUAGAGCUCUGUUUGGACUAGGGGCCCGUCAAGGGUUACUGAAUUCAGAUAAACUGCGAAUUCCAGACAUUUAUGUGCGGGAGUCAGACUGCGAGUGAUAAGAUCCGUAGUCGAAAGGGAAACAGCCCAGAUCACCAGUUAAGGUCCCAAAAUUCAUGCUAAGUGGAAAAGGAUGUGGAGUUGCGCAGACAACUAGGACGUUGGCUCAGAAGCAGCCAUCAUUCAAAGAGUGCGUAAUAGCUCACUAGUCGAGUGACGCCGCGCCGAAAAUUUACCGGGGCUAAGCAUGAUACCGAAACUGUGGAUGUGCAUUUAUGCACGUGGUAGGAGAGCGUUCUAGCGGCGGUGAAGCAUGACCGAGAGGACAUGUGGAGCUUCUAGAAGUGAGAAUGCCGGUAUGAGUAACGAAAGACAGGUGAGAAUCCUGUCCGCCGCAAGACUAAGGUUUCCUGGGGCAGGCUCGUCCGCCCAGGGUAAGUCGGGACCUAAGGCGAGGCCGAGAGGCGUAGUCGAUGGACAACAGGUUGAAAUUCCUGUACUGCACCGAAUCGUUAUGAGCGAUGGAGGGACGCAGGAGGCUAGCAGCGCGUGGUGCUGGAUACCACGUUCAAGCGUCAAGUCUGAGAG